rnacentral:rRNA from 1 species
AGUGAACGCUGGCGGCAUGCCUUACACAUGCAAGUCGAACGGCAGCAUGAUCUGGCUUUCUAGAUUGAUGGCGAGUGGCGCACGGGUGAGUGAUACAUCGGAACGUGCCCUGUUUUGGGGGAUAACUAGUCGAAAGAUUAGCUAAUACCGCAUACGACCUGAGGGUGAAAGUGGGGGACCGCAAGGCCUCAUGCUAUAGUAGCGGCCGAUGUCUGAUUAGCUAGUUGGUGAGGUAAAGGCUCACCAAGGCGACGAUCAGUAGCUGGUCUGAGAGGACGAUCAGCCACACUGGGACUGAGACACGGCCCAGACUCCUACGGGAGGCAGCAGUGGGGAAUUUUGGACAAUGGGCGAAAGCCUGAUCCAGCAAUGCCGCGUGUGUGAAGAAGGCCUUCGGGUUGUAAAGCACUUUUGUCCGGAAAGAAAUGGAUCUGGUUAAUACCUGGGGUUGAUGACGGUACCGGAAGAAUAAGGACCGGCUAACUACGUG